rnacentral:lncRNA from 1 species
CUCAAAUUUCAUUCCAAGUACAACUGAUACAGUAUCAGAACUAUAUGUAAAAUUUUCAACAGUGUGAAUAAUGACUAUAGCCACCCAAAAGGAAAACAGCCCAUUUGACCUGAAGCAGAAGGAGAUAGGAAGGAAUGAAAGAAAGUAGUCAGACUUCUUAAACUUUAUAGGAGAGGCCCACAGAGCUAUUGAGCUAUGGAUAU